UUCAUAUAGCUUUCCAAAUUAUUCACUUUUAGGGCUGAAAUCUUCUGUUCUUGGUUUCUGCUUCAAGGUGAAUUUUUGGAAAGCUCAAGC
rnacentral:pre_miRNA from 1 species